rnacentral:rRNA from 1 species
AGUGAACGCUGGCGGUAGGCCUAACACAUGCAAGUCGAACGGCAGCACAGUAAGAGCUUGCUCUUACGGGUGGCGAGUGGCGGACGGGUGAGGAAUACAUCGGAAUCUACUUUUUCGUGGGGGAUAACGUAGGGAAACUUACGCUAAUACCGCAUACGACCUACGGGUGAAAGCAGGGGAUCUUCGGACCUUGCGCGAUUGAAUGAGCCGAUGUCGGAUUAGCUAGUUGGCGGGGUAAAGGCCCACCAAGGCGACGAUCCGUAGCUGGUCUGAGAGGAUGAUCAGCCACACUGGAACGGAGACACGGUCCAGACUCCUACGGGAGGCAGCAGUGGGGAAUAUUGGACAAUGGGCGCAAGCCUGAUCCAGCCAUACCGCGUGGGUGAAGAAGGCCUUCGGGUUGUAAAGCCCUUUUGUUGGGAAAGAAAAGCAGCAGGUUAAUACCCCGCGGUUCUGACGGUACCCAAAGAAUAAGCACCGGCUAACUUCGUG